UAUUCAACUUCAUGUGAAUCUAGCUUGAAUGUUUAUAAUCAGGGAAGAUAAUCCCAGUGUAAUAUUUCCAAAGUGACAAUGAAAUAUAUGUCAUAGUCAAGUUAUACAGGUAAGUAUUAGAUACAUUUUUUAUACAAAGGUAACAAAGAAACAGACCGAGGCGCUAGUCGAGAACCUUGACCUGACUGCAAGUGCAGACAAACUAUACGGCAGGUUGUUUCCGGCCUAUUUUUUGUUACCUUUGUUUUGUAUCUGACGUGUACGACGUUUCAGGAAGGAAGUAGUACAUUUUGCAUUUAGAAGAGGUAACAAAACUUUUGCAUUUAGAAGAGGUAACAAAACUUAACAUAUUAGAAACUUCAAUGGUCAUAUACCAGUUAAUGUAAGUUACAGUUUAAACAAAUUUUUUUCACUUCCCUUAAGCCGAGA
rnacentral:lncRNA from 1 species